rnacentral:rRNA from 1 species
GCAGUUCUCACCUGGUUUCCUGCUGAUGCUAAGCGGGUUGAGCUUGGCCAGUAUCUGGAUGGAAGACCUCCUGGGGAAAACUAAGGUUGCU